UUUCCUGGGGAUCAAAUGACUAGCCUCAUUCAGUAAAUCAUUAAUCUGUGGCGGGACAGAGCUAUGAGGCCAUUUAUUUGAGAAACUACUACCUGAACCCCAGGCUUAAGCCUCUAAGGAUUUGACCAGUGAAUUAUUCAAGGGCAUGGCGCAGUGCCUGGUGUGGGCUUGGCAUUGAGGAUACAAGAACCAAAAAAGGAAAACAGUCUCUGUCCUCAAGAAACUUAUGUUCUAUCAAACAGAACUGAAAAGGCAUUCUGGGCUCCAAGAAGGAUCCUUUCAUAUAUUGGUUACCAUGGCUUACUAACUCCUCUACAUUUGGGCAUCUGUUUGCUGAAGCAGGGUUUGACUCAAAUGGUUAGCCCAUGGCUGGAUGCAUUUUUUCAUUCCAUUCUAAAGACAAUUCAAGUGAGAAACUUCAGUACAUUGGCUUUGUUCUGUGAGUCAUCGCACUGUAAUUAACUGAAUCUGGUUUUAAACACUGAGAGGACACCUUUCUUGUCUGUUUAUGUCAGGAAAAAUGGCUAAUGAGUACUUAUCAAAAAGAUGAACAUUUUUCAUUAGAUUAAGUAAAAUCAAAACAGAUUUAUAAUGUGCUAUUAGAUUUCAG
rnacentral:lncRNA from 1 species